UGCGUAGGGUGCGAGCGUUAAUCGGAAUUACUGGGCGUAAAGCGUGCGCAGGCGGUGAUGUAAGACCGAUGUGAAAUCCCCGGGCUUAACCUGGGAACUGCAUUGGUGACUGCAUUGCUGGAGUAUGGCAGAGGGGGGUGGAAUUCCACGUGUAGCAGUGAAAUGCGUAGAGAUGUGGAGGAAUACCGAUGGCGAAGGCAGCCUCCUGGGCCAACACUGACGCUCAUGCACGAAAGCGUGGGGAGCAAACAGG
rnacentral:rRNA from 1 species